UGGGCGCAAAAAUGUCUGGGC
rnacentral:siRNA from 1 species